ensembl:lncRNA
GCAGAGCCCUCGCCCCUCCAAUCUGUUUCCCUCUGGCAGGCAGAGCCCUCGCCCUGCCACUCUGUUUCCCUCUGGCAGGAAGAGCCCUCGCCCCUCCAAUCUGUUUCCCUCUGGCAGGCAGAGCCCUCGCCCUGCCACUCUGUUUCCCUCUGGCAGGCAGAGCCCUCGCCCCUCCAAUCUGUUUCCCUCUGGCAGGAAGAGCCCUCGCCCCUCCACUCUGUUUCCCUCUGUCAGGCAGAGCCCUCGCCCCUCCAAUCUGUUUCCCUCUGGCAGGCAGAAACCUCACCCUGCCCCUCUGUUUCCCUCUGGUAGGCAGAGCCCUCGCUCCUCCAAUCUGUUUCCCUCUGGCAGGCAGAGGCCUCGCCCUGCCCCUCUGUUUCCCUCAGUCAGGCAGAGCCCUCGCUCCUCCAAUCUGUUUCCCUCUGGCAGGCAGAGCCCUCGCUCCUCCAUUCUGUUUCCCUCUGGCAGCCAGAGCCCUCGCCCCUCCUCUCUGUUUCCCUCUGGCAGGCAGAGCACUCACCCCUCCAUACUGUUUCCUUCUGUCAGGCAAAGCCCUCGCCCCUCCAGUCUGUUUCCCUCUGGCAUUCAGAGCCCUCGCCCCUCCAUACUCUUUCCCUCUGUCAGGUAGAGCGCUCGCCCUGCCAUUCUGUUUCCCUCUGUCAGGCAGAGCCCUCACCCCUCCAAUCUGUUUCCCUCUGGCAGGCAGAGCCCUCGCUCCUCCAUUCUGUUUCCCUCUGGCAGGCAGAGCUCUCGCCCCUCCGCUCUGUUUCCCUCUGUCGGGCAGAGCCCUCGCCCUGCCACUCUGUUUCCCUCUGGCAGGCAGAGCCCUCGCCCCUCCAAUCUGUUUCCCUCUGGCAGGCAGAGCCCUCGCCCCUCCAAUCUGUUUCCCUCUGGCAGGCAGAGCCCUCGCCCCUCCAUGCUGUUUCCCUCUGGCAUUCAGAGCCCUCGCCCCUCCAAUCUGUUUCCCUCUGUCAGGCAGAGCCCUCGACCCUCCAAUCUGUUUCCCUCUGGCAGGCAGAGCCCUCGCCCUGCCAUUCUGUUUCCCUCUGGCAGGCAGAGCCCUCGCUCCUCCAAUCUGUUUCCCUCUGGCAGGCAGAGCCCUCGCUCCUCCAUUCUGUUUCCCUCUGGCAGGCAAAGCCCUCGCCCCUCUCUGUUUCCCUCUGGCAGGCAGAGCCCUCGCCCCUCCAAUCUGUUUCCCUCUGGCAGGCAGAGCCCUCGCCCCUCCACGCUGUUUCCCUCUGGCAGGCAGUGUCCUCGCCCCUCCAAUCUGUUUCCCUCUGGCAGGCAGUGUCCUCGCCCCUCCAAUCUGUUUCCCUCUGGCAGGCAGUGUCCUCGCCCCUCCAAUCUGUUUCCCUCUGGCAGGCAGUGUCCUCGCCCCUCCAAUCUGUUUCCCUCUGGCAGGCAGUGUCCUCGCCCCUUCACACACUCUGUUCUCCCAUGGAAGAGAUGACUAGGCUCAUCUUUCCUCCAUAUGAUGUAAUUACGGACUGUCUCCAUCUCUAGCUCUAAACUCCCCUCCCUUCUCUUCUCUUUAUUCAUAUUUCUCUCUUUCUGAUUCUCUCCAUCUCUUUCAAAUAGUCACUUACAAUCCCAUCUUUUCCAUCACACUUCACUUUCCCUCACUCUUUCUCUCUCUCAAUCUCAGUCCACCUUUCUGCUGUUUCUUUUUUUCUGAAUUCUGUAUUUCUGUCUUCAUCCAUCAGUACCUCUCUGCGGGGGCGAGCAGCCUCCAGUUGUGCCUCAGUGACAGGGAGUGAUAGGAAGCAGCCUUCCUCUGCCCUCAGUGAAUGAUGUCAUGAUAUCUCUGUAGGGCUUGGUUCGGGCAGAAUGUCAACCAUUUCACUGUCCCAUUCACUGGUCUGACUGACAAUACAUACAUACCUUGUGAUGAUCAGUAAAUCUAUCUAUUCUUGGUAAUGGUAGUACACUAGUAGUGGUCCUAGUAGUUUAGUGGUUAGUCAUUGCAAUGCGAUCAGUAGUAUUAACAGUCAAAUAAGUAUUAAUUGUUGUGCUAGUUUCACAAUUAUUUUGUUAGGCUAUUGUAAGAUAAAACUGUGAGAGACGCUUCAUCAAAUUCACUUCUGAUGUUCUCUAAUUAUUUUGACCCACAUUUCUUUACUAAAUUGAUCCAUAUCCCCUUCUAUGCAUGCUUCAUGAAUUACUGAUGAGUGCUGCUGGUCUCUGGUAUGUCCUCCACUGCUCCCUUCAGGAGAAUGAGAUUGCGAGGGAAGCUUCCCCUCUCUCCCUCCUUUCUCUCUUUCUCUCCAUCGCUACCAACUUCCCUUCCCCUCUCCCUCCUUUCUCUCUUUCUCUCCAUCGCUACCAACUUCCCUUCCCCUCUCCCUCCUUUCUCUCUUUCUCUCCAUCGCUACCAACUUCCCUUCUCCUCUCUCCCUCCUUUCUCUCUUUCUCUCCAUCGCUACCAACUUCCCUUCCCCUCUCUCCCUCCUUUCUCUCCAUCGCUACCAACUUCCCUUCCCCUCUCUCCCUCCUUUCUCUCUUUCUCUCCAUCGCUACCAACUUCCCUUCCCUCUCUCCCUCCUUUCUCUCCAUCGCUACCAACUUCCCCUCCCCUCUCUCCCUCCUUUCUCUCUUUCUCUCCAUCACUACCAACUUCCCUUCCCCUCCUUUCUCUCUCUUUCUCUCCAUUGCUACCAACUUCCUUCCCCUCUCCCUCCUUUCUCUUUCUCUCCAUCGCUACCAACUUCCCUUCCCCUCUCUCCCUCCUUUCUCUCUUUCUCUCCAUCGCUACCAACUUCCUUCCCCUCUCCCUCCUUUCUCUCUC